UACAGAGGUCUCGAGCGUUGUUCGGAUUCAUUGGGCGUAAAGGGCGCGUAGGCGGCGGGGUAAGUCUGGUGUGAAAUCUAGGAGCUCAACUCCUAAACUGCACUGGAUACUGCUCUGCUGGAGGACUGGAGAGGAGACUGGAAUUCACGGUGUAGCAGUGAAAUGCGUAGAUAUCGUGAGGAAGACCAGUGGCGAAGGCGGGUCUCUGGACAGUUCCUGACACUGAGACACGAAGGCCAGGGGAGCAAACGGG
rnacentral:rRNA from 1 species